AUAUUCUCGAAUUCGCCUCUUCAAAAGGCUCCUAUUUGAGUCAUACUCCUAACAAUCUCCACCUUGAUUCAAAUUUCGGUGCUACGGAUGAAACUUGUAGAUUUCAAAUUCAUCUUCAUCGAAAUUAACAGGCUGAAUCUCCUCAACAUAGUAACCACUCCAUAUAAACCAAACACUCGUCCUCUACACGACAUCCACAAUCAACACCCGAACCCAAUUCCUAGGGUUCCCAAUUCCACCAAGGAAUUAAUGUUGAUCACACAUGGUCGAAACACACCCUGCAGCAAGAACCAAACCAGGUGCUUGAUCAGAAGACUUCUUCUUGGAACCGUAGCCUUCAACGCCCUUAGAAGCAUCCCAAACAUUACUGACACCACAGUACGUACGCUCGGUGAGUCCUACCCUAGCAACUGAACACAGUGUAUUCGCUAAAAUUGGUGGCAAAGCGGAAUCACUAACUCUCUCCCUAACAGUGUUUUGAAUCGACUCAGAGCCCAACACAAGAGGUACUGUAUCAAACUGAAUUUCCACCACGGUACUAAACUUGUCCAAAUGUCUCCUCUUAACUGGUUCUGCACUCCCCUGCAAAAUGUACAACUGGGAUCUUUUCCGUCCGUCCAGUGCAACUCGGACUCCCUUUCGGACUUUCAAGACUCCGUCUGCUCCAGGGAAUUUAUACCCUUUUACAUCCAGGGUACUUAACGAAAUGAGAUUCCUUUUCAGGUCAGGAACAUAUCGAACCUAAUCAAUCGUUCUAAAUGUUCUAUCCCCCAGCCUUAAUCUGACUCAAUCGAUUCCAACAAUACGGCAAGAUUGGUUGUUUCCCAUUACAACUCCACAUUGCUGAACAAUCUCAUAUGUCUGAAAUAAAUUCCUAUCGGAAUACAUAUGGUGCUAACAUGCUGAAUUAAGAAUCCACUCCUCGUCAGGCCUAGACUCCACAUUAGAUACCAUGGUCAACAUCACCUCUUCGCUAACUGAACAAUUCUCAACUACAUUGGCUUCGUCUGAAUUCAAAGGUUGCACCCUACAAUUUAUAGCUAAAUUACCUUUAGCCUGCAACAUAUUGCAAUCCUUCCAAAUAUGUCCCUUCCUUUUGCAGUAGUAACAGGUCACAUUGUUAAAUCUAACUCUCGAUCUGCCUCUUCGUCGACCACCUUGAGAUCCAAGAGCUUCCACAUCCCUUGAUGUAGCUCCAACCAAAUGCUUCAUUUUCUCCUUUGAGUACAAAGUAUCAUAGACAUCUUCUAUAGUCAAAGUAUCUCGACUAUACAAGAUAGUAUCCCAAAACGACACAUAAGAUCCAGGUAGCAAACACAACAAGAUCAAGGCAAGAUUUUCUUCAUCGUACUUAACCUCCAACGUCUCCAGAUCUGCAACUAUUUCGUUGAAUACGGAAACAUUAUCUUCCAAUGACUCUUAUUCCGCUAUGAGAUGUGAAUACAGCUUCUGCUUGAGAGCUAAUUUACUUGUAAGACUUUUAGUUAUACACAACUGUUCCAACUUCAACCACAAAGCAGCCGCCGUUUUCUCCUUCAAGACAUCCUACAAAAUAUUAUUGGACAGAUGAAGAUAAAUCAAUGAAACAACAUUUUUUUCUACUUAGACCAAUGAUAAGUGUUUAUUUUUUAAUUUUGUUUCAAUUAAAAACCACUCAUGGUGGAAUAAUUUAUUAAGAACAAUUUGAAAAAGUAAAAAUUUAUAAAUGAAAUUUUUAAGCUCGUGAAAGAAGAAAUAUGUCAUUGUUAAAGCUUUUUUCCUAUUCAACACUGAUAGAUGCAAGUGACCAUAGGAGAAUGAAUGCAAUAAGAUUUAGAGAAGAAAACUUAGAAAAAAGAAGAGGAAGACAAAUGUUCUAAAAGUGAACCUCAGGACGAUUAAGAGUUUCGAUUGCUGUGACAGGAUUAAAUCCAGGUCCAAUUGGCAUUCAAAUACUAUGUUCAAAAACUUCCUUCGAUGUGUAGAGAUAAGGUAGAGUCUUUGUAUGUAAUUUUCAGCCUAAAAGAACAAAAUAAAUCCAUGUAAAGCAAAACAUGAACUACGAUACAUAUGAAAAGUGUACAAAUGCAUGAUUUCCUUGAAUAAACAUUGGAACAUGUAUAAUAAGUGUGACUUGGGAAUGCAAGCCCUCACUCCAUUUUCAUGAAGAAGCCACUAAAGCCUACUCAUCUACUUGAGUAAGAGCACUGACCAAGAACGAUAAUCCUAUCAAUUCAUUACAACAUAGUUUACUUUUUACGGCGUGAAUUGUACGCUAUAAAAAGUUCUUUAUGGCGUAUAGGUGCAUGCCGUAUAAAGCCAUACCGUAAAUGCUCUUUAUUAUUUAUUUUGACAAUUUCUAAGGAAGAUGGUUCUUCACAGCCCCAAAAAUUGAUCAGAUCAGCCGCCACUUUGUUCUCUAUUAUAAUCAAACUCGUCUAGUAUGAAAAAGGCACAGGAAACAUAGUAAUUGUACUAGUUUUUCUCUGGUAUAUAUCACCAUUUGUGCUAGUUAAGUUUUCCUCGCAACUGUUGUCUUUUAUAUCACAUAAUGAUGUAUUGUUCAAUUCAGAAUGUGAACAAGAUUGUACAUUUUCUCUUUUCAAACCUUCAACUAGAAAAAUAUCAUGCUAGGAGAAAGGAAAUGAGGAUAGAAAAUGUUUUUUUCCCCCUUAUGUCAACAGGUUCACACAAGCAUCUAAUAAUUCAAUGAGAUAUAACUUGCCUUGGUAAGGAAGAAGAUGUCGAGGAACAAGCACGUUUGGAGACAGUUCACCUGAGAAUUAUAUGUUGCAUUUGAGAUAAAACGGUAGAAAAUCAAGGUAAGAAGAGAAAUAUAAAUAUCACUGUUAUUGAUUGAGCUAGAACAAAAACAUUGUCUAGAAGUCAAUAUUCUAUUGAUUUUUGUUGGGUUUUGAUACCAAAUAAAUCCGGAAGAUGAUUUAAAACAGUUGUCGGAUAAUUUUUCGACACCAUGGACUUGGCUCGACUUGAAUACGACCGACACUUUUGGAAGGCCCAAGUUGAAGUUGGAUUGGUGGUUUGAUUAGUGUGUGGCUUUGGAUUAUUGUUGGUCCACUAACUUAGCCCAUUGAGAGAGAGAUAUCUUUGGCCCAUUUAAAUGAACAAGUUAAG
rnacentral:sRNA from 1 species